rnacentral:rRNA from 1 species
AUUGAACGCUGGCGGCAGGCCUAACACAUGCAAGUCGAGUGGAGCGGCGGACGGGUGAGUAAUGCCUAGGAAUCUGCCUGGUAGUGGGGGAUAACGUCAGGAAACGGGCGCUAACACCGCAUAAUAUCAGAUGAGCCUAGGUCGGCUGAGCUAGGUGGUGGGGUAAAGGCCUACAAAGGGGACGAUCCGUAACUGGUCUGAGAGGAUGAUCAAUCACACGGGAACUGAGAAACGGUCCAGACUCCUACGUGAGGCAGCUGUGGGGAAUGUUGGACAAUGGGCGAAAGCCUGAUCCAGCCAUGCCGCGUGUGUGAAGAAGGUCUUCGGAUUGUAAAGCACUUUAAGUUGGGAGGCGUUACCAACAGAAUAAGCACCGGCUAACUUCGUGCCAGCAGCCGCGGUAAUUC